GACGAACGCUGGCGGCGUGCUUAACACAUGCAAGUCGAACGACGAAAGCCUUCGGGCAAGUAAGAGUGGCGCACGGGCGAGGAACACGUAGAUAAUCUGCCCUUCAGUGGGGAAUAACUCUCCGAAAGGAGUGCUAAUACCGCAUAAGACCACAAGCUCUGCGGAGCAAGGGGUUAAAGGAUUUAUUCGCUGAAGGAUGAGUCUGCGUCCGAUUAGCUAGUUGGUGAGGUAAUGGCUUACCAAGGCAAUGAUCGGUGGAUGGUCUGAGAGGAUGAUCAUCCGCACUGGAACUGAGACACGGUCCAGACUCCUACGGGAGGCAGCAGUAGGGAAUAUUGCACAAUGGGGGAAACCCUGAUGCAGCAACGCCGCGUGAGUGAUGAAGGCUCUAGGGUCGUAAAACUCUGUCGUAUGGGAAGAAAAAAAUGACGGUACCAUACAAGAAAGGACCGGCCAACUUCGUGCCAGCCGCCGCCGUAA
rnacentral:rRNA from 1 species